rnacentral:rRNA from 1 species
UCAAAUUCUGUAAUGGGAUGUUGCGUUCAGUCCAGCAGGGGGCGCAACCCUCGCCGGUAGUUGUCAUCAUUCAGUUGGGCACUUUAAGGGGACUGCCGGUGAUAAGCCGAGAGGAAGGUGGGGGCAAAUCAAGUCCUCAUGGCCCUUUCUGGGUGGGAUACACACGUGAUACAAUGGUGGUGACAGUGGGCAGCGAGGCCGCGAGGCCGAGCUAAUAUCCAAAAGCCAUCCCAGUUCGGAUUGCACUCUGCAACUCGAGUGCAUGAAGUUGGAAUCGCUAGUAAUCGCGGAUCAGCAUCCCGCGGUGAAUACGUUCCCGGGCCUUGUACACACCGCCCGUCACACCAUGGGAGUUGGUUUUACCCGAAGGUAGUGCGCUAACCGCAAGGAGGCAGCUAACCACUAGUAGGGUGCUCCUAGCUC